GACGAACGCUGGCGGCGUGCCUAAUACAUGCAAGUCGAGCGAAGUUUUUCUGGUGCUUGCACUAGAAAAACUUAGCGGCGAACGGGUGAGUAACACGUAAAGAACCUGCCUCAUAGACUGGGACAACUAUUGGAAACGAUAGCUAAUACCGGAUAACAGUAUUUCUCGCAUGAGAGAUAUUUAAAAGUUGGUUAUGCUAACACUAUGAGAUGGCUUUGCGGUGCAUUAGCUAGUUGGUGGGGUAAAGGCCCACCAAGGCGACGAUGCAUAGCCGACCUGAGAGGGUGAUCGGCCACACUGGGACUGAGACACGGCCCAGACUCCUACGGGAGGCAGCAGUAGGGAAUCUUCCGCAAUGGGCGAAAGCCUGACGGAGCAACGCCGCGUGAGUGAAGAAGGAUUUCGGUUCGUAAAGCUCUGUUGUUAGGGAAGAAUGGAUAUGUAGUAACGACACAUGUAAGAGACGGUACCUAACCAGAAAGCCACGGCUAACUACGUG
rnacentral:rRNA from 1 species